rnacentral:rRNA from 1 species
AUCGCUUAGAGGUAAACGAGUGAAGCCGAAGMUGWUKUAUGGAAUUCAGUUAACUGUGUGUCUUCUUGAAUUYGGCGAAAUCCAACUAGGAAUUGCUAUUUUUGAGUUUUAAUAUACAUGCGGUUGAUGCACUUUCUGUAUAACAGUACUGCGACCGAUAGCGUCAUUUUUCUGUCGUAAUUUUGAAGGUGAUCAUUUCCUCGGAAAUGGUUUUAUAGCUGGUUACAUGGUUAAAUGAUUUAUUGGUGAUUGCGAUUAACGGUUAUUGACUGGUUUAAUGUUGAUGGUUCUUUUAUAGACUAAAAAUAGGCUGUUUUAGAACAAUUGAUGUUUUUCAUGGUUGAUUUGUUAAUUUAAAGUCYGCAGUGUAUGUAGGUUACUUACUCGUCCCGUCUUGAAACACGGACCAAGGAGUUUUAUAUGAUCGCGAGUCAAAGGGCCUUACGAAACCCCACGGCGAAAUUAAUGUAAAGGUUUACUUCGGUAAGCUGUGAUGUGACCUCGUGGAAACACAGAGUGCAACAUCGACCCGUCUAAAGAUGCUCGCAUCUGGGCGGAGUUUGAGCGAUCAUGUAGAGACCCGAAAGAUGGUGAACUAUGCUUGUGCAGGUUGAAGCCAGGGGAAACUCUGGUGGAGGACCGCCGCGGUUCUGACGUGCAAAUCGAUCGUCGGACAUGAGUAUAGGGGCGAAAGACUAAUCGAACCAUCUAGUAGCUGGUUCCCUCCGAAGUUUCCCUCAGGAUAGCUGACAUUUGUUGUUGUAGUUUUACCUGGUAAAGCGAAUGAUUAGAAGUAUUGGGGACGAAAUGUUCUCAACUUAUUCUCAAACUUUAAAUGGGUUCGAAGUGCGUCUUUCUUCAUUGAAGAUGUGCAUCGAAUACAAAUGUCUAGUGGGCCAUUUUUGGUAAGCAGAACUGGCGAUGUGGGAUGAACCAAACAUCUGGUUAAGGUGCCUAACAUAACGCUCAUGAGAACCCACAAAAGGUGUUGUUUGAUAAAGACAGCAGGACGGUGGACAUGGAAGUCGUCAUCCGCUAAGGAGUGUGUAACAACUCACCUGCCGAAUCAACCAGCCCUGAAAAUGGAUGGCGCUGUAGCGUUAGACCUAUACCGGAUCGAUAUCGCAAGUUACAAAACGAGUAAGCGAUAUCGUGUAGGAGGGUGCCGUGGUUGCUAAGAAGCUACUGGCGUGAGUCAGAGUGGA